UAAGAAUUCAGAAAUAAAGGUGUCAAUUUCC
rnacentral:piRNA from 1 species